UUCAAUAUAUCAAUAAUAUGUUCUUAUUUAAUUUCAUGAGGCUUAUUUUAAUACCUCGAGAACAUCUCACACUUCAUUGAAUUUCGUACAAUAUCUCGUGGGGAAAAGGGUUCAAGUAAAUAGCCGUCGUAAACAGUUUUCUCGGUCACGAACUAUAGGUAGGCGUUAAAGAAUAACAUAACUUCAAAUAGUAUAGUAUACAGAACUGGAUACUACUAUAUUGAACUGGAGACUUUAUAGCUGGCUGGUAGGCUAAAACGAAAUUAAGUGGUCAGUUGGUUGGCGGCAUAGAAGCUCCGCUUUCCUGUAAUUGUGACAGUUGUCUUAUAAAGAUACUUUUGUCGUAGUCAGUGUCGAACACGCUUUUAUUGUCAUAGGUUUUUGGGAGUUUUAAAAGCUUCUGGCCCAGAAAAUCACUAACGCAUCCGCAAGUCAACAAAACGUUUAGAGCGAAGACAUCAAGCGAACGUCAUUUCUAGGCAUCACAUCGUUCUAACUAACAUUCCUAGAAACGUGCAGACAAACCAGAAACCAACCGAAACUGAGAACUGAAUUUUUUACUAUGGAAUCUCACUCGAAGACAACGAAACCUGAAUCAAUCGAUUCUCUGGUAUUUUUAACCCUAAUAAGUGUUGGGUUUCUGCUCUUUGGGUUGGUGAUUGUCGCGUGUGGCUUCACUUUGAAUUAUCACGACGAUUUCAAGGCUUCAGAUGACGGAGAAACGUUGAAGCUGUUUGUAGAGUCACAGUUUGAUUAUACCCAGUACUGGCUUGGCUUACCUUUUCUGAUCACAGGCGCCCUUUCGAUGGCCUCAAGCAUGUGCCAGAAAAAUAGAUCAUUGGUAACAGUGACAUUUUUAUGUCUGUCCACCUGUUUGAUCCUGUCGCUGUUUGCGAUGAUACUCGAAGGGAUCGACUGGAAUACAUGGAAUAAUCGAGACCGGUUUCGUAAAGCGUUGGAAGAAGAUGAUUACUCGUGCUCAACUCAAAGUCAAAGUCAAUUUCAUCCGAGUCACUCUUGUGUUUGUCAACACCCAGAACAGGGCUCUUGGACCGUUCUCAGUUUUGCAACCUGUUCCACCAUUACAAGACUUUCUGGCCUUUUCGGCACUAUCGCCGCCUCAGCAGUUUUUGGAAUGUUCUUAUCUCUUGCGGGGAUUGUUAUUAUUUUGAAAUCAUUACAAGGAAACCUCGUCAUUUCCUCUCUUGAAAUGAUUUGGACUGGAUGAAGGGUACAAAAAUGGAGUCGCAUCAGACAUUGCUGGAGCAUGCAAAUCAAUGGGUUGGAAUAUCUUAAAACUGUGUAAAAAAAACUUGAGGAAAGGAAUUGAAAUUGAAGAAUCGUGAAGAAAAGGAAUAAGACCUUGAACGAACCAGAUUGGACACCCCAUGACAAUAGUAAUCGCAUCAAUCGAAUUUUUGUAACGUGUCUUGUCUUGUAACGCAAAAAAUAUAGAAAUAACCAACAAGAUCAAAAGGCAAAUAGCAGGUCCAAAGGUGUGUAAACAUGCAGUAAGGUGUGUUUUUGUACACGCCAAAAGGGCUGCAAAAUACACUAAAAGGUGUGUCAGAAAACACAUAAAAAGAUGUGUUUUACGCUUGUCCAACGGUGUAUUUUAAAAGUUUUUAAUUGUGCGGAUAUGAAAACUACUUUUCAUAUACGCUUUAUAUUCGUUGUGACAGAGAUUCGACUAUUAAGUGUCACAGUCAAAUAUAUAAUUACUGUCAGACUUUCAUUUUGCUCUUUACCUGACCGUAUUGUUUAUAGUUAUCAUAAGGACCCUGGUUACGAAUUGGUCACAAUAUUGUUAAGAAUUGUUGGUGAUGAUCAGUAACAGCCUGCUCUACACUACAGCCUGCAACCUGCUCGCAGGCUUUAAUUCCGUUGAACCCACUCUCCGCAAAGGACGUUUCAUUUCAUUAAAAUAUUCAUAUAUGGUCAGACUGAGUCGUAAUGUAUAAUGGCGGCGGCACGAAUUUCAAAUAGGUCGUCCCCCCGGUUUUAAUUGGAUGACCCCACAUCUGCACGACAUGGAAAGUUAUGGAAAUUCUGUAGCAAAGUUUUAUAGAUAAUUCGAAC